rnacentral:rRNA from 1 species
GACGAACGCUGGCGGCGUGCCUAAUACAUGCAAGUUGAGCGCUGAAGGUUGGUACUUGUACCAACUGGAUGAGCAGCGAACGGGUGAGUAACGCGUGGGGAAUCUGCCUUUGAGCGGGGGACAACAUGUGGAAACGAAUGCUAAUACCGCAUAAAAACUUUAAACACAAGUUUUAAGUUUGAAAGAUGCAAUUGCAUCACUCAAAGAUGAUCCCGCGUUUUAUUAGCUAGUUGGUGAGGUAAAGGCGCACCAAGGCGAUGAUACAUAGCCGACCUGAGAGGGUGAUCGGCCACAUUGGGAGGGAGACCCGGCCCAAACUCCGUCGGGAGGCAGCAGUAGGGAAUCGUCGGCAAGGGACGAAAGUCUGACCGAGCAACGCCGCGUGAGGGAAGAAGGUUGUCGGAUCGUAAAACUCUGUUGGUGGGGAAGAACGUUGGUGAGAGUGGAAAGCUCAUCAAGUGACGGUAACUACUCAGAAAGGAACGGCUAACUACGUG